GGGCUCGUAGCUCAGUCGGUAGAGCAUUUGACUUUUAAUCAAAGGGUCGUGGGUUCAAAUCCCGCCGGGCUCACCA
rnacentral:tRNA from 1 species